AGUUGAUUCCAGUAUGGACGGCAUUGUAAAGCUACUCAAGAUGGGCUUCUCACAUGGUCAAUCUGUGGUUGAUCACAUGAUGAACAAGUGUGGCCCUGAUCUCCUCAGAGAUGGCUCUCCUUCUUUCCCUCCUUCUCCUCCUCCUCCUCCUCGUCCCCUCUCUCCUUCCUUCUCCCCUUGCUCUUUGUCUAUUGUUGGCAUUCAUUGUUUAAAACAGGUAAUCUGACCUUUGACCUAUGUAUAGGCCUAUGCUUCAGCAUUGAUCGGUUAGUGUUCAGUUUCACAUAAUGUGUUUGCACACGUGAGGAGUGUG